GGGAAAGAAGACCCUGUUGAGCUUUGACUCUAGUCUGGUUUUGUGGAAUGAGCCGAGAGGUGUAGCAUAAGUGGGAGCUCCGGCAACAGUGAAAUACCACUACUCUUGGUCUUUUUCCACUCACCCCGUUAGUCCGGAGAUGGCCAUGGUUCUUUGCUCUGGUCAUCUUAUAUCUUUUGUGUAAUCUAAAAGAGAAACUUCCUUCAAUGGAUUUUCUUUUACCGGUACGGAGGACAUAGCCAGGUGGGGAGUUUGGCUGGGGCG
rnacentral:rRNA from 1 species